rnacentral:lncRNA from 1 species
AAUAUUAAAAAGCAACUCUCCGCUGAAGUCAAUGCCACCAAACCCCCUGCCCCUAGCAGAAUCAGCAGAGCUGAUCUCGGAGCGGUGCCCAAACCAGGUGCUGUGAAGGCAGUUAGACCUUCGAGUUUACCUUAUAGGAAUGCUUUUCUCGUUCGGCCAUCUAAAGCAUCAGAGAGCUCGAAGAAGAUAGCUCAAUCUUCUGUUAGAAAUCGAUCUUUAGAACCACACAAGUAUGUCCAGACUCUGCUGCAUAGACUUCCAUCUGAUAGUGGACAUCUUUCUUUCAAUGAAGGGGAAAAGUUACGACUUGUUCUGGAAGUUGAUGAAAAGUGGCUUUUGUGUUGUCGAGGCGACCAGAAAGGCCUUGUUCCAAGGAGUGCAGUUAUCGCCUGCAGUAGGUACUGAAUUUCUCCACAAGGUAUUAUGAAGCAUUGUGACUGACCUUUGAAUUGUAUGCUCUUUACCUGGGAGUCAACUUUCUAGAAUGACCGUACAUGAGCAGGUACAGGCAUUCAUUAAACUUACGAUUAAUUUAUACAAUUCCAAACUUAUCAAGCCUCAUAGUUAGCUUACUAUUAUAAUGUGGUACUGAAAUUUUUCUGAAGCAGCUUAACUUGCUCUUGUACCAUGCAUAGACAUACUCUGUAUAUACUUAUCAUCCACACUUUGGAAAAAAAAACCAAAAAAAAAGACUUAUAUAUUUUCUAAGUGUCAAAUACUCCUAUUGUGUAAGUACUAGUUGUUGCAAAGACUUAUUAGAUUUCUAAGUGCGAAAAUUUGAAUUUGUAAGAAAAGGAAACAAAAAAUAAGAAAGGAGUAAGAAUUCUCUUCAAAACAAAACUGAAAAUUCAUGUAUUCGUUUGUACAGUGUUUUGCCCUACUUUCUCUUUCAUCAACAUUUUCAAUGAGGUUAUGCAAGCCUAUUUCGUCAGUAUUCUCAGAAGAGUAUUUUUAAACGGCUUUAUUGAGAUAUGUUCGUGAAUUGAAAAGUAUUUUAUAUUUGUAUUUUGUACAGUAUUUUUCCUACCUACGCUUAAAAUGUCAAAAGUGUGCAGUGAACUGUUGUGUCCUUGCACCUUAAAUUUCUGACAGCUUUGUUUUUGAAGAUCAUAAGAUUUUACGCUCGCAGAAGUUUCCAUCUUUUAUCAGGCGGAGCCUUUUAUUUGUGAGCUGUCAGUGCUAUUGUAUUUUUACUGUAUUCCAAAAUUCAGAUGAAAAGAUGAAUUAUCUCUCCAUUUUACCAACAAUUUUUUUAAAGGUGAGAUGUAAGAAUUUUAAUCUAAAUUUUAAAUCCCCGCUUUCCCUAUUACAUCAAUGAAAACUCAGAUUUUAUUUCUCUGAUUUCACUUUGUUUCCUUUCUUUCUUCCGCUUGGAAACUCAUUCAUUGAAAUGCCUAGAAGCACUUAAAAUACAUUUUCUUUUGUUUAUUUUAUCUUUUGAAUUUAAUUUUGAAAAGAUUAGAUAAAAUCACUCCAAUAAAUGAAGUGAGUUGACUGAAGUUACUGCAACAUUGACGGUGCUUCGCUCUUAUGUUUUCUCCCUUUCUAUGUUUUCUUUUUCUCUUAUAAUUCACGUGCUGAAAAUUAUUUUAUUUAAAUAGCAUAAUAAGUUUGAAAUUUUUUUUCCUUCCCAAUAUUUUAUCCUAUCACUCUUUUUCUAUAAUAAAAAAAAUGUUUGGUCUCUCAUUAAUGAAUCAAAAUGGAGUGUGGGUAAAAGCUGCACCCUUCCCAGAAUUAACUACUCUUUUUGUCGUCAAAAAUUUGAUUCCCACACCUAAACAUUGACUACAUCCUUUCUGUUUGUUUAAGCUUUAUUUUAUAUUGGUGUCAUCAGUCUGAAAUCAGCCUCUCUUUUUCCAUCUUGUUCUCUAAAUUUUUCACCUAUCGUUGGACUGAUUUGUCUUGCAAACUGAAUGAAAUAAUUGAACAAUUGCCGUAUCACCUUGUUAAAAUUUAAUUGGAAAUAUUAUUGGCAUAAUCGAUCUUAUUUGUUUAGAGAUAUGAUCUAAAGUCUACUUUUGCUAGAUUUUUUUCAGACUCCCAAAGAAAUUUAUCUAGGCAAACUUGCUAAUUCACUCACUUUUUGAUUAACACCAAUGUGAUGCCAUCAAUUGUAGAUGAUGCUCAAACAUAUGACUUGUUAUAAGAUUGUACCCAAGAAUUUCCUAAAAACUUUAUGUUGCACUAAAUAGUAGCUCUUGUUUUAACAAUGUUUUAAAAACUUCAAUAGCAGGUCUAUUUUAGCGUAUAAAGUAAUUUGUCAUCAGGUAAUGAGCUGAAAAACUGGGUGAGUCUUCGAUAGUUUCUGUGUUGUAAGGCUGAUUCUAUAAACUUUGAAUCUCCCAAAUUGUUUUCAUUAAUUGUAAAAAGAUGAGCUUAUUGCCGCAAACCCUCUUUUUGCCUGCUCUCUUCGAAUAAAUCCUCUUUCAUCUAGGAUUUUUUUCUCUCAAAAUUUAUUUUCUUUUUGUGCCCUUGAAGUAUGGAAAUUAUCUCAGAAUUCCAGCCUCGCAUUUUAACAGAACACAAACAGUCUUAUCAUUUUCACUGAGCGUUCAUCUUUUAGUUUUUCUAUCCAAUUUUCUAUCUAUCAAAUUCUGCUUGAAUUCCUACAAAAAACCCUGAGAUCUUCUCUGUUAAUAAUUUGAUACCUUUUUAAAACUGCUUUCCCUCUCUCUUUUUUUCUGUGUUCUGUGAAGAAUGAUUCAAGACCAAAGGUCGUAUUCUGUCAUACCAUGUAAUGAUGCCUCAAGUCGCUAAAUCAUGCAUGUUUUCCAAAAUAAAUGCAACCGUACUAUUCUUCCCAAACCGGACCUGUCAUUCCCCUAACCUGUCAUACAUCCAAUGAAAUUUGUGACAUUUUUUCUCUUUGAUCUUGAGCCAAAAAACCUUCAAAACAUCUCUAAAUACUAUAUCUUUAACAUGCCAAAUAUCGGCGUCAGUGUCUCUUUCUUGUCUUUCUGUUUAUCUGCUUUGUUUGAUACUCAAGUGUUGCUAUUUGUUGCGUUGAUAUCUCUCUCUGAAGAAUAACUGUGAAUUAGGACUUUUGAAACUCCUGAAUGAGAGAAAAAGUAACUUUGAAAAUAGUGCAAAGAAUCGAGAUGAUUUUGGUAAGACUUGAUACGGCCUUUACAAUCAAAGAUUCUGUCAGCUUUAUAACUUAAAUCAUUUUCAGUUUAUUUUGUAGAAAACUGGCCUUCAGUAAAUUUAAAAGAGCUUGAAAUGCAAAGUCUUUCCAGUCGCUGCUUCCAACUGUCAGAUUCUAGAGAUAUUUGUAACCAGUACCUUUUUUCUCUCUUUCUUUUCAAAGUAGAUAGUAUAAUUUAAGUCAUCAAAUUGAAAUUUAAAACAAGAGGGUAGGCAAGGAAAGGAUUUGGUUGCAAUUAAAUAGCAACUCAGAAACCAUGCACUCAUGAUUACAUGGCUAAAAAUAUCUAAAACUUAGAGAGUAUUUAUCUAAUCUUCUAGAAGAUUAAUUUUCAGCAAGCAAACCUUUUAUUAAGUUAGAUACUUUCCAUGACCAUAUCAAAAAAACUGUGACAACCCUAUUUUUUUUUCUUUUCUUCUUUUUUUAUGUUUUCCCUUUCGUCUCUCAUUGUUUCCGAUGGGACUUUUUUUGAGGAACCUACUUACCUUUUAGACUUGUGUCCAUCUAAAUGGAGUUUUCAAAAAUAAAUUUCUGUUUUUCUUUUUUUCUCUCUCUCUCAUUUCCCUCCCCUGUCCAUUCUGUGUUUUCAAACCACUGAAAUAUUCAAUAUCUCUUGAAUUACACCCCCAAUAGUUUAAUCUGCAGUAUUCGGAUGCCUGUUUUUUCAUGUUAUAGCUAAGAUAAGUUAAUGCGUCAGUAUUUUCGAUCUCUUUUUCUAGUUUGUUAAUAAUUUUGUUAAUGAAAUUUGUGCAAAAUGUGCAUUUGUAAUAUUAUUUGUAUCUUUCAACCCUUAAUUUUUUCAUUUUUUUUCUUUCUUUUUUUGCCUUUGUAUUAUAAUUUUUUAUUAUUAUUUUGGUGCUAUUAAGAAUUUAAUUAGCUAAAUAACAAAUCUGAGAGGACAAAAUAACCAAAGAUUUGUCAAAAAGCAGAAAAAUUUGCAUUGUCAAAAAUCAAUUUCCCCUUUUUUAGAUAAAUGUUUGUGCAAUGAAUGAUAUGCUAAGAAAUUGUGUGCCAUGCUUGGUAAAAAAUCAGGUUUUAGUGCAGCGGUUUUUCAUCACAUAUUUUAUAUUCUGCUUUCUCUGCAUCUUGUGCCCCGCUGAUAAGUUUGAAUAUGAGUGUUUUAAACAGACCUUAUUUUUUAUACUUUGUAUUGCUGUCAAAGCAGAAAUUGCUUGAGCCUCUGCUUCUCUCCUUUUUUUGUCCCUAAAAGGCUGCAAAUAUGUAAUUGCUGAAGAAUAUAUUUUAGUGGUUUGUCUAGGUAUUGAGAUUAUUUUUUGAUCUGGUUGUUAAUUUCAUGUAACUCAAUUUUCUCUCUAUUUCUUUUUCAAUUAUUUGGUUUGAUUCAGCCUAAAAAUUGACACGGUAAUAUGAUUGAUAACAAUGUGUCGGCCAACUCAUUUUUGA